rnacentral:rRNA from 1 species
CAGCCGCCGCGGGAAUACGUAGGUGGCAAGCGUUGUCCGGAAUUAUUGGGCGUAAAGGGCUCGCAGGCGGUUUCUUAAGUCUGAUGUGAAAGCCCCCGGCUCAACCGGGGAGGGUCAUUGGAAACUGGGAAACUUGAGUGCAGAAGAGGAGAGUGGAAUUCCACGUGUAGCGGUGAAAUGCGUAGAGAUGUGGAGGAACACCAGUGGCGAAGGCGACUCUCUGGUCUGUAACUGACGCUGAGGAGCGAAAGCGCGGGGAGCGAACAGGAUUAGAUACCCCAGUAGUCCCUGUCUCUUAUAC